GCCAAGAUAGCUCAGUUGGCUAGAGCAUCGGUGUCGUAAACCGAGGGUCGUGGGUUCGAGUCCCACUCUUGGCU
rnacentral:tRNA from 1 species